GCGCGGGUGGCGGAAUAGGUAGACGCACUGGAUUUAGGUUCCAGCGCCGCAAAGCGUGCGGGUUCGAGUCCCGCCUCGCGCACCA
rnacentral:tRNA from 1 species